AUGGCCUUCUUCGUCGCUCCCACCAAGAACCUCUCCAACACGUGGGCGCAGUACAUGGGCCUCCUCAACAGCGGCAACAACGGCAACACCAGCAACCACAUGUUUGCCGUCGAGCUCGACACAACCCAGAAUGAGGAGUUCCAGGACAUGGACAACAACCACGUCGGCAUCGACAUCAACAGCCUUGACUCCUUGCAGGCCUACCACACUGGGUACUACGACGACGGGAGGGGAUCCUUCAACAACAUGACCCUUAUCAGCGGCAAGGCGAUGCAGGUAUGGGCUGACUACGAUGGCGUGUCCACGCAGAUCAACGUCUUCUUGGCUCCUCUCGGAUUCGCUAAGCCGGUGAGGCCACUGCUUUCAUCUCCCUACAACCUCUCCACAGUUCUGAGAGAACCAUCCUACAUCGGCUUCGCAGCCACAACCGGCGCAAUCAGCACGAUCCACUGUGUUCUCGGCUGGAGCUUCGCCAUGAAUGGCCCUGCUCCUGCCAUUGACACAUCCAAGCUCCCAAAGCUACCACGUCUUGGUCCAGAGCCGCGCUCCAAGGUCCUGGAGAUCACCCUGCCUAUUGCCACGGCAACAUUCGUCCUCGUCAUGGGAACUGUCAUCAUUCUGUUUCUUCGCAAGAGAUUCAGGUACAGGGAGCUACGGGAAGAUUGGGAGGUCGAUUUCAGGCCGCACCGGUUCUCCUUCAAGGACCUGUACCAUGCAACGGAAGGGUUCAAGGAAAAGAACCUGCUUGGUGUGGGUGGGUUCGGCAAGGUGUACAAAGGGACGCUCCCAAAGUCCAAACUGAAAGUAGCGGUGAAGAGGGUGUCGCACGAGUCAAGGCAAGGGAUGAAGGAGUUCAUCGCGGAGGUUGUCAGCAUCGGCCAGCUCAGACACCGCAACCUUGUGCCCCUGCUUGGCUAUUGCCGAAGAAAAGGUGAACUUCUUUUGGUUUAUGACUACAUGUCAAAUCGAAGCCUCAAUCAGUAUCUAUACUCUGAAGAUGGCAAGCCAUCAGUGAAUUGGGAGGAGAGUGAAAUGAAUGCAAGACUAGGUGACUUUGGUCUCUCAAGGUUGUACGAUCAUGGCACUGAUCUGCAAACCACACAUAUGGUUGGGACCAUGGGAUACCUGGCGCCUGAGUUCGUACGCACGGGCAAGGCAUCCGCUCUUACGGAUGUGUUUGCAUUCGGUAUAUUUCUCCUUGAGGUCACUUCUGGGCAGAGGCCUAUCAAGCAGAACCCAUUUGGCAACAAACACACAUUGGUCGACUGGGUUAUAGAGCGCUGGCACAACGGAUCGCUCAUGAACACCGUGGAUCCGAGACUGCAGGGCCACUACGACAUUGAUGAUGCAUCUUUGGUACUGAAGCUAGGACUUCUGUGCUUGAACCCUUUUACUAGCGCAAGGCCCACAAUGCGGCAAGUCAUGCAGUACCUCGAAGGUGAUACACCACUCCCAGAGCUAACACCAGCACACUUCAGCUUCACUAUGCAGGCCUUGACGCAAAACAGAGGAUUGGAAUCACCAAACUUGCAAUAUCCUCAGUUAUCGACGAGUUUUGCCACUUUUUCCGACCUUUCAGGAGGAAGAUAA
rnacentral:rRNA from 1 species